AACGAACGCUGGCGGCAUGCCUAACACAUGCAAGUCGAACGAGACCUUCGGGUCUAGUGGCGCACGGGUGCGUAACGCGUGGGAAUCUGCCCUUCGGUUGGGAAUAACUGAGAGAAAUUUCAGCUAAUACCUUAUAAUGUCUUCGGACCAAAGAUUUAUCGCCGAGGGAUGAGCCCGCGUAGGAUUAGGUAGUUGGUGGGGUAAUGGCCUACCAAGCCGACGAUCCUUAGCUGGCCUGAGAGGAUGAUCAGCCACACUGGGACUGAGACACGGCCCAGACUCCUACGGGAGGCAGCAGUGGGGAAUAUUGGACAAUGGGCGAAAGCCUGAUCCAGCAAUGCCGCGUGAGUGAUGAAGGCCUUAGGGUUGUAAAGCUCUUUUACCCGGGAUGAUAAUGACAGUACCGGGAGAAUAAGCUCCGGCUAACUCCGUG
rnacentral:rRNA from 1 species